rnacentral:misc_RNA from 1 species
GUAUAAGUUUUUAAAGGACUGAGUCCAAUAAACAAGACAUUCUAAACAUACUUGAGAUGAUAUAAGACAUAGACCUGGAAAACAAAGGGAGCUACGAAGUAGCAACCCUUCAAAAUCCGCCUUGGGUAAGGCGAGAGGUAUCCAGAUCUACAAAAGGUGCACAGGUGGACAAAGAAGAGCCUUGCACUCAAGCGUGCACAUACUUCCGAAGAAGCCAGCAACAGACAAGAGUACAAAGUGUUCAAAGUUCAAUAAUGAUCCUUCCGCAGGUUCACCUACGGAAA